rnacentral:rRNA from 1 species
AGUGAACGCUGGCUGUAGGCCUAACACAUUCAAGUCGAACGGCAGCACAGUAAGAGCUUGCUCUUACGGGUGGCGAGUGGCGGACGGGUGAGGAAUACAUCGGAAUCUACUUUUUCGUGGGGGAUAACGUAGGGAAACUUACGCUAAUACCGCAUACUACCUACGGGUGAAAGCAGGGGAUCUUCGCACCUUGCGCGAUUGAAUGAGCCGCUGUCGGAUUAGCUAGUUGGCGGGGUAAAGGCCCACCAAGGCGACGAUCCGUAGCUGGUCUGAGAGGAUGAUCAGCCACACUGGAACUGAGACACGGUCCAGACUCCUACGGGAGGCAGCAGUGGGGAAUAUUGGACAAUGGGCGCAAGCCUGAUCCAGCCAUACCGCGUGGGUGAAGAAGGCCUUCGGGUUGUAAAGCCCUUUUGUUGGGAAAGAAAAGCAGCAGGUUAAUACCCCGCUGUUCUGACGGUACCCAAAGAAUAAGCACCGGCUAACUUCGUG